rnacentral:rRNA from 1 species
GAUGAACGCUGGCGGCGUGCCUAAUACAUGCAAGUCGAGCGAACAGAUAAGGAGCUUGCUCCUUUGACGUUAGCGGCGGAAGGGUGAGUAACACGUGGGUAACCUACCUAUAAGACUGGGAUAACUUCGGGAAACAGGAGCUAAUACCGGAUAACAUUUGGAACCGCAUGGUUCUAAAGUGAAAGAUGGUUUUGCUAUCACUUAUAGAUGGACCCGCGCCGUAUUAGCUAGUUGGUAAGGUAACGGCUUACCAAGGCGACGAUACGUAGCCGAACUGAGAGGGUGAUCGGCAACACUGGAACUGAGACACGGUCCAGACUCCUACGGGAGGCAGCAGUAGGGAAUCUUCCGCAAUGGGCGAAAGCCUGACGGAGCAACGCCGCGUGAGUGAUGAAGGGUUUCGGCUCGUAAAACUCUGUUAUUAGGGAAGAACAAACGUGUAAGUAACUGUGCACGUCUUGACGGUACCUAAUCAGAAAGCCACGGCUAACUACGUGCCAGCCGCCGCAGUAA